CACACUCCAGAUAUUGGGGGCCAGGGUACCACAUCUGAAGUUGUACAGGCCAUCUGCAGGCAGAUCAUUGUCAAGAAUGGCCGAGCAGUAACCAUUUAAGAAUGUGGUGACUGCACUACAACAUGCUAUGCUAAGGGACGCUGAAAGUGAUGUCUCUUCCUGCAGAAUACUCUUAAUACAGAGUG